rnacentral:tRNA from 1 species
AAAGGAUUAGUUAACAAAUAUAACAUCAGCAUGUCAAGCUGAAGUAACCAAAACAAGGUAUCCUUUU